GCUAAUAUGCGGUAAAAUUUAUAUAUGUGUAUAAAUCUUUUCAUUUAAACUUUAUCAUUUCAUUUAAAUUACUACCUUAUUAACAGGCAGAUUUGACCGGCAAUAUAAAUUUUUUGCUUUAUAAUAUAUUAAAAGAUGGUAAGGACGUGAAGAAAACAGGUGUGUAAAUGAUGUUGUACAUCUUGCAGAUAGCUCAGAAGAAAUACAUUAUAAGCAGAAUGUUUGACUGGAAAUAUAAACGAUGUUGCACAUAAUGCAGAUAGCUUAGGCGUAAAGAGAUUGGUGAAAUGGAGAAUGAGACUAACUACGGUCAAAAAAAUAAUGAAUAUCAAAAUGUGAAUGGUACUUUGUUUAACAUCUACCUGUUUCUAUAGAUACAGUACAGAAGCAUUUAUAAAUGGGCUUGAUAUUUUUAUCAUUAAAACUUGAAUUUAUUAUAAAAUUUAUAAAUACUAUUUUUAUCAAAUAGUUUAUAUAAAAUAGUAAACAUGUAAAUUGUUUUAUUUUCUGUAAAAAUUGUUUUCUUUUAUAUUUCAAUUGAUUAUCACUAUGUAUAUCACUUAUAGUACUAUAUUACUUGUA